GCCCGAGUAGCUCAGUUGGCAGAGCAGCUGUCUUGUAAACAGCAGGUCGUCAGUUCAAUUCUGACCUCGGGCUCCA
rnacentral:tRNA from 1 species